rnacentral:rRNA from 1 species
UACGUAGGGUGCAAGCGUUAAUCGGAAUUAUUGGGCGUAAAGCGUGCGCAGGCGGUUUUGUAAGUCUGUCGUGAAAUCCCCGGGCUCAACCUGGGAAUUGCGUUGGAGACUGCAAGGCUAGAAUCUGGCAGAGGGGGGUAGAAUUCCACGUGUAGCAGUGAAAUGCGUAGAGAUGUGGAGGAACACCGAUGGCGAAGGCAGCCCCCUGGGUCAAGAUUGACGCUCAUGCACGAAAGCGUGGGGAGCAAACAGG